UUCACGUCCAAAUUGCACCGGAAAUCUCUCAUUCUCCUCAAUCAAAUGUGAUAGAAUAGUACCAUCAGGGAGUUCCACAUAGAAGAAACUAUAGUUCCUAUCAAACUGUGCCCUCAACCAUUUUCUGCUAUCAGAACUAUUAUCGACUGCAAGAGAAACAACAGUAUGAAAAUACAUUGGAAACCAUGGAAGUUCAACUGUUUUUACAAGUUUAGGCUUAAGCAAAACACCAGUUAAAAAAUCCCUUAAAUAUAUUCAAGUUCUUGCUAUUGAGACAUCCAAUUAAAAGUGUGCUCUAUUAAAUCCUGUAUUGAGUACUAACUUAAUUGUACAAAUAUAAUAUUGGCUAAUUCACCAAAACUUUUAUGUUUUUGAGUCCUUCAAUACUUAUUUUUAAAGCUUGCAUAUAUAUAAUUAAAUGCAUUUGGUUAUACAAAAUGUAAAUAGCAUCUGUUUAUGGCCUCAAUAUAAGAAUAUUUUACAAUAUGAUAUUAGAUUUUAAGGUUUUUUUUUUAAGGACAAACUCCACUAUUGUGAACUUGCCUUUUGUUUAUAUUUAGGAAAAUUAUACUUUUUUUGAUGCCAAAUUGGUAUUUAGUAGCACCUAAAUUGAAAAGUUAAGGGCUAAAACAGAACUUCAAUUGGAUGGUUUAAAAACAAAAACAUUAAAAAGUUAAAGGGCUCUUAAUUCACUUUCUCAAAAAAUUAUGGUAAAAAAAGCUGUCUUCAAGAUGGCUGAGAUGAAAUUAAAAAAAUACUUUUGAGAAGGUAACAUGCUGAUGAUUCGGAAGGUAUUCCAAACACACAAAACAUAAAAUAAAGUAGAAACUUCACCAAGGAAUUACGAGACAUAGGGCUUGCAUUGUACUUUGAACUUUAAACUUAAAGGUAAAAAUUAGGCCAAGAACUGAGCAUAGUAAUUAUUAACAACCUUGAGUAAUUUCAACUUACAUUUCAUGGCCACAAAUUUAAAACCCAGUUUAUCAGCAGCCAUAUUAAAUAUAUCCUGAACAGCAGCCACUCUAGAUGAUGGAACAGGAGCAGCCUGAAGAUUAGCAUGAGUACCACGCUUGGAAACCCACUCAAAUAUGAUAGCUUCCUUUCCCCCGUUCUUAAAAUAUAAUUUUAGAUUAUUCUUGAAUCUAACAAGUUCAGAUUCACAUUCUUGCGGUAAAGAAAGGGUACUAGGUGAGUGCUCAAUGGGUAUUAAUAGGACAUGGUCUUGAACAAGGGGACCUUUGGCCAGGGCACAGUAGUAACUUUCUCCUAUGCUAAUGAUCAGAUGUGACUCCACGCUGGGGCUUGACAAACAAAACCAGCACUCUUUUGACCUGUUAGCAUUUUCAGAGCCAUGUCUCCUGUGAGAAUAGCUCUCAACUUUGCUCUGCAAAUCGUGCUUAAAGUUGCAGUCUGGACCUCUUUCGCAUUUUCCUUUGAUAAGAAAAUCAAUACAAACACCUCUUAAAUAUUGUUCCCUUGCAUCCAUGUCAUGCUGAAAGUGGCAUUUUUCCCCUCGUGGACAAGAACCAGAAUAAAUAAAUUUAAAACACAGUUUAUCACCAUCUCUAGCUCCAGCUUUCUGACGUUUUUGGGAGACAUCAUAUCUCCAAUAUUGAGAAUCAGACACACUGUCACUAGGCCUCUUGGUGGUUUCUUUAGGAUGAACUGUUUGCUCUGAAAAGGUGUAUGGGGAUGAAGUAGUGUUAGAGGGCUUCAUGCUAAUCUCCACAGCAGUCAUUGUAGAUCCUGGAGUAGGAGAAAUUGCAUGGAUAAAUUUCUGUUUAUCCUUAUUUCCAACUGAUGCAAGACCAAAGAAGCGGGUAACAUGCACAGCAUCAAUGUUAGAGUAAGGUUCACGAGCAUAAAAUAGACCUUUAGCACCUGCAAUGUGAUAGCGUGGUUUGAUCUCUGCUACUAACUCAGAUAUAGUAGAAUCACUACCAGCUGAAUCUGAAAUUCCUGCAGGAAUAUCGGAUGUAGCUCUGUUUGUGACGCCAGUAGGCCACUCAUUAGUUAGAAACAAGUCAACUAUUCCAGGUUCGUCAGCCAAUGCUCGCAGUGCAUCAACAUCAUCCUGACUGUAUGUUCCAAAUUGUUGACUGUCCGAUGACCGCCUACCCGAUAGGUAUGCAACAGAUAAACUGUAGAGAGUGAAUUUGCCGCUGCCUCUGAGCCAAAAGAGAUUCUCACAAAUUUUCAAACCGUCCAUUUUGAACCCCAAGUUGGAGGAGUUUUUGGACGCAACAGAUAGCACUUUAGGGGCACCAACACCAUAGUCGCCGAUGAAGUAGGUAGGGAGGGGAAUCUGAGUGCGGCCUUCCACGUAGUCCAUGAACUCCUCCAGCAGCUCAGGCGAGCCCGGGAAGAAUUGGCCCACGCAGAAAAGCGCAUCGAAUGGUCCCGCCGACUUGUUUACCGAUUGGACACGCUUGUAGAGGUGAUUGAGGCGGCCUAAAACGUCACCGCAGAGAAGGAUUCUCGGUGGAGCCAUGGACGCCGAGGGUAAGAAAAGGAGAGUGUGGCAGCGAAAGAGGAAAAAGCGAGGUGCGUAUUAUUAUUUCUGCUGAUAUGCAAGGAGG
rnacentral:misc_RNA from 1 species